AGCAGCGGCGAUGGAAACGAUGGA
rnacentral:siRNA from 1 species